rnacentral:rRNA from 1 species
UACGGAGGGUGCAAGCGUUAUCCGGAUUCACUGGGUUUAAAGGGUGCGUAGGUGGGUUGCCAAGUCCGUGGUGAAAUCCCCGAGCUUAACUCGGGAACUGCCGUGGAUACUGGUAGCCUUGAAUAUCGUGGAGGUAAGCGGAAUAUGUCAUGUAGCGGUGAAAUGCAUAGAUAUGACAUAGAACACCAAUAGCGAAGGCAGCUUACUACACGAUCAUUGACGCUGAGGCACGAAAGCGCGGGGAGCAAACAGG